rnacentral:rRNA from 1 species
UGACGGUACCUGACUAAGAAGCCCCGGCUAACUACGUGCCAGCAGCCGCGGUAAUACGUAGGUGGCGAGCGUUAUCCGGAAUUAUUGGGCGUAAAGGGUGCGUAGGCGGCAUGAUAAGUUCGUGGUUAAAGCGUGGGGCUCAACCCCAUAAAGCCACGGAUACUGUCAAGCUAGAGUACUGGAGAGGGUAGUGGAAUUCCAUGUGUAGCGGUAAAAUGCGUAGAUAUAUGGAGGAACACCGGUGGCGAAGGCGGCUACCUAGACAGAGACUGACGCUGAGGCACGAAAGCGUGGGGAGCAAAUAGGAUUAGAUACCCUAGUAGUCCACGCUGUAAACGAUGAAUGCUAAGUAUUGGGGCAACUCAGUGCUGCAGUUAACGCAAUAAGCAUUCCGCCUGUGGAGUAUGCACGCAAGUGUGAAACAUAAAGGAAUUGACGGGGGCCCGCACAAGCGGUGGAGUAUGUGGUUUAAUUCGACGCAACACGAAGAACCUUACCAGGCCUUGACAUCCCUUGCGAAAUCCUAGAGAUAGGACAGAGGUUAUCAAGGUGACAGGUGGUGCAUGGUUGUCGUCAGCUCGUGUCGUGAGAUGUUGGGUUAAGUCCCGCAACGAGCGCAACCCUUGUCUUCAGUUACCAAUAUUAAGUUAGGGACUCUGGAGAGACUGCCGGUGAUAAACCGGAGGAAGGUGGGGAUGACGUCAAAUCAUCAUGCCCCUUAUGGCCUGGGCUACACACGUACUACAAUGGCUGUUACAACGUGGAGCGACCUCGUGAGAGGAAGCGAAUCACUUAAAGACAGUCUCAGUUCGGAUUGAAGUCUGCAACUCGACUUCAUGAAGCUGGAAUCGCUAGUAAUCGCGGAUCAGCAUGCCGCGGUGAAUACGUUCUCGGGCCUUGCACACACCGCCCGUCA